AUGCCAGCAUACCUGUAUAAUAUUCUAGUGCACCUGUGCACCACACCAGCAUACCUAUAUAAUAUUCUAGUGUACAUGUGCACCACGCCAGCAUACCUGUAUAAUAUUCUAGUGCACCUGUGUACAACCCCAGCAUACCUGUAUAAUAUUCUAGUGCACCUUUGCACAACCCCAGCAUACCUAUAUAAUAUUCUAGUGCACCUGUGCAACACACCGGCAUACCUGUAUAAAAUUCUAGUGCACCUGUGCACCACCCCAGCAUACCCGUAUAAUAUUCUAGUGCACCUUUGCACAACCCCAGCAUACCUAUAUAAUAUUCUAGUGCACCUGUGCAACACACCAGCAUACCUGUAUAAAAUUCUAGUGCACCUGUGCACCAUGCCAGCAUACCUGUAUAAUAUUCUAGUGCACCUGUGCACCAUGCCAGCAUACCUGUAUCAUAUUCUAGUGCACCUGUGUACAACCCCAGCAUACCUAUAUAAUAUUCUAGUGCACCUGUGCACCAUGCCAGCAUACCUGUAUAAUAUUCUAGUGCACCUGUGCACCACCCCAGCAUACCUGUAUAAUAUUCUAGUGCACCUGUGCACCACGCCAGCAUACCUGUAUAAUAUUCUAGUGCACCUGUGUACAACCCCAGCAUACCUGUAUAAUAUUCUAGUGCACCUGUGCAACACACCAGCAUACCUGUAUAAUAUUCUAGUGCACCUGUGUACAACCCCAGCAUACCUGUAUAAUAUUCUAGUGCACCUGUGCACCACGCCAGCAUACCUGUAUCAUAUUCUAGUGCACCUGUGCACCACGUCAGCAUACCUGUAUAAUAUUCUAGUGCACCUGUGUACAACCCCAGCAUACCUGUAUAAUAUUCUAGUGCACCUGUGCACCACGCCAGCAUACCUGUAUAAUAUUCUAGUGCACCUGUGUACAACCCCAGCAUACCUGUAUAAUAUUCUAGUGCACCUGUGCACCACGCCAGCAUACCUGUAUAAUAUUCUAGUGCACCUGUGUACAACCCCAGCAUACCUGUAUAAUAUUCUAGUGCACCGGUGUACAACCCCAGCAUACCUGUAUAAUAUUCUAGUGCACCUGUGCACCACGUCAGCAUACCUGUAUAAUAUUCUAGUGCACCUGUGUACAACCCCAGCAUACCUGUAUAAUAUUCUAGUGCACCUGUGCACCACACCAGCAUACCUGUAUAAUAUUCUAGUGCACCUGUGUACAACCCCAGCAUACCUGUAUAAUAUUCUAGUGCACCUGUGCACCACGCCAGCAUACCUGUAUAAUAUUCUAGUGCACCUGUGUACAACCCCAGCAUACCUGUAUAAUAUUCUAGUGCACCUUUGCACAACCCCAGCAUACCUGUAUAUUCUAGUGCACCUUUGCACAACCCCAGCAUACUUAUAUAAUAUUCUAGUGCAUCUGUGCACCCCAGCAUACCUGUAUAAUACUCUAGUGCACCUGUGCACCACCCCAGAAUAUCUGUAUAAUACUCUAGUGCACCUGUGCACCACCCCAGCAUACCUUUGUACCAUUACAGCAUACCUGUCUUCCAUGCCACUGUAG
ensembl:lncRNA